rnacentral:lncRNA from 12 species
AUGCUGCGCAGUGCGAGCUCUGGUGGAAGCCCCCCGCAUGCAUGCAGGCUGAGUGUGCACACACCGCCCUGCACACAGAGUCUGGCUCACAGCAAGCACUUACCUGGACAGCAGACAGUGGCCGUGCACUGGUGCUCCAGGGCCAGGGACCCAGCUGUCAACCAACGGAGCUCCCUCCCUCUCAGGGCUUCCCUGCCCCAGGAGCCUCCCCACUGCGUGGAUGCGGACCAAUGCCUGCGCCAGGCUUUACUAAAUCCUGGAGUCAAGCCACACAGAGUCCUUGGGGUCAGAGUCGGGGAGGACAUAGCCACAGAACCACGGAGCCCCAAGGGUCUCGGAGUGGAAAUCACAGCCAAGGGGGGACAAGCAGUUUCUGGGAGAAUCUCGCAGACUCUACAGGAGCUUCUGGUACAAAUACGGAUAAGGUGGGGGUGUCCUCGAGUUCAUAGGAAUGACUUCAUCUUUAUCUGUGGCCACAUCUCUUUUAAAGAGAUUAUUUUACAAUCUAUUCCAUUCAGACUCGUAAGUAGGCCUUGGAAAUCCAGGCUGAGAGAAGCGUGUUUCCAAAAAUGAAUGUAAUUCAGCUAAAUGGCAAAAGCUUUCUCCGCAGGGAGGAGAAAUGAGCGUGGUGCAGCCUUGCUCAGCAGAGGCCCUGGAAUCACCCUCACGUCCCCAAGCCUCUGCUACCAGAAGGGUUGCGCUCCACUGAAAACGGAUUUUCUUCUUUAUCAUCUAAUAGAAAAAUAUGCUAAGUAUUUCCUGCAAACCAGAAAGGUUAGGAACCAGAUGUCUGCAAGAACCUGGAGAGCGAGGAGCUCCAUCUUUCUGCCAGGGAGCUUUCUGACUUGGUUUUUGGUGUCUGUUCCCCCAUUUACAAAUACCCAGAAAAACCACUUACAAAGUCUGAAGACCUGCUGAUUGCCACCUGCUAAGAAGGCUUCCUUCCCGCUAUUUCCCUGGCCCCUCUGCCCGGACCUCUGGCCCCAUUUAGGGACUCAGCAGGCAUAUAAACAACGGGGACUGGAAGGCACCGCAGGUCUGUCACUGAGAGUGAACAUUAGGUGACCCCCUGUGUCCCCGGCACAGUGCUCAGUGCUGGCAACAGAGACUGUCCCCCAAGCCCCAAGCCCCUGGCGAACAACAGAGGUUAAGAAAUGUCCCCAGCAACAUGAAAGACUCCUAACUCUGGGAAACGAACUAGGGGUGGUGGAAGGGGAGGUGGGCGGGGGGUGGGGGUGACUGGGUGGCGGGCACUGAGGGGGGCACUUGACGGGAUGAGCACUGGGUGUUAUUCUGUAUGUUGACAAAUUGAACACCAAUAAAAAAUAAAUUUAUUACA